UCCACCACACCCGUGGUGGACUCCAUCGGGUGCUCUCCUCCCGACAUCACACCAGUACUAGUAGUGUGAUGCCCGGCAUCAAUGCCAUGUGUUCCGGUCACACCAGUAGUUUGACCUGUUGUGGUGUGACCGAGAUCAGUAUAACCAGGUGUAGUGUCAUGUGUUCCAGUGGUGUGGCCGAGUCCAGUCUGACCUCCCGUGGUGUGACCGAGACCAGUAUGACCUGCAGUUGUACCAUGCGUCCCAAUCACACCUGUAGUUUGACCUGUAGUGGUGUAACCGAGCCCGGUAUGACCUGCAGUUGUGCCAUGUGUUCCAGUCACAGCAGUAGUUUGACCUACAGUGGUGUGCCCGAGACCAGUAUAGCCAGGUGUGGUCCCUUCUGUUCCAGGAGUGUGGCCGAGACCAGUAUGACCUGGAGCGAUGCCAUGGGUCCCAGUAGUGUGACCGGGAACCAUGCCACCACCCGUAGCAGUAUAAGCAGUAGUUCCACCAGUAGCAGCAGCUUGUUUUGAAG
rnacentral:lncRNA from 1 species